rnacentral:tRNA from 1 species
CGGAGUGUAGCGCAGCCGGGUAGCGCACUUGACUGGGGGUCAAGGGGUCGUCGGUUCGAAUCCGGCCACUCCGACCA